rnacentral:rRNA from 1 species
GACGAACGCUGGCGGCGUGCCUAACACAUGCAAGUCGAACGGUAAGGCCCUUCGGGGUACACGAGUGGCGAACGGGUGAGUAACACGUGGGUGAUCUGCCCUGCACUUCGGGAUAAGCCUGGGAAACUGGGUCUAAUACCGGAUAGGACCACUGCCUGCAUGGGUGGUGGUGGAAAGCUUUUGCGGUGUGGGAUGGGCCCGCGGCCUAUCAGCUUGUGGGUGGGGUGAUGGCCUACCAAGGCGACGACGGGUAGCCGGCCUGAGAGGGUGACCGGCCACACUGGGACUGAGAUACGGCCCAGACUCCUACGGGGGGCAGCAGUGGGGAAUAUUGCACAAUGGGCGCAAGCCUGAUGCAGCGACGCCGCGUGAGGGAUGACGGCCUUCGGGUUGUAAACCUCUUUCAGCACCGACGAAGCGCAAGUGACGGUAGGUGCAGAAGAAGGACCGGCCAACUACGUGCCAGCCGCCGCUGUAA